rnacentral:tRNA from 1 species
GGUGGGGUGGCAGAGCGGUCAUGCGUUCGCCUGCAGAGCGAAUUUAAAGGGGUUCGACUCCCCUCCCCACCU